rnacentral:rRNA from 1 species
UUAAGCGACUAAGCGUACACGGUGGAUGCCCUGGCAGUCAGAGGCGAUGAAGGACGUGCUAAUCUGCGAUAAGCGUCGGUAAGGUGAUAUGAACCGUUAUAACCGGCGAUUUCCGAAUGGGGAAACCCAGUGUGAUUCGUCACACUAUCGUUAACUGAAUCCAUAGGUUAAUGAGGCGAACCGGGGGAACUGAAACAUCUAAGUACCCCGAGGAAAAGAAAUCAACCGAGAUUCCCCCAGUAGCGGCGAGCGAACGGGGAGCAGCCCAGAGCCUGAAUCAGUGUGUGUGUUAGUGGAAGCGUCUGGAAAGGCGCGCGAUACAGGGUGACAGCCCCGUACACAAAAAUGCACAUGCUGUGAGCUCGAUGAGUAGGGCGGGACACGUGGUAUCCUGUCUGAAUAUGGGGGGACCAUCCUCCAAGGCUAAAUACUCCUGACUGACCGAUAGUGAACCAGUACCGUGAGGGAAAGGCGAAAGAACCCCGGCGAGGGGAGUGAAAAAGAACCUGAAACCGUGUACGUACAAGCAGUGGGAGCACAGAGCAAUCUGUGUGACUGCGUACCUUUUGUAUAAUGGGUCAGCGACUUAUAUUCUGUAGCAAGGUUAACCGAAUAGGGGAGCCGAAGGGAAACCGAGUCUUAACUGGGCGUUAAGUUGCAGGGUAUAGACCCGAAACCCGGUGAUCUAGCCAUGGGCAGGUUGAAGGUUGGGUAACACUAACUGGAGGACCGAACCGACUAAUGUUGAAAAAUUAGCGGAUGACUUGUGGCUGGGGGUGAAAGGCCAAUCAAACCGGGAGAUAGCUGGUUCUCCCCGAAAGCUAUUUAGGUAGCGCCUCGUGAAUUCAUCUCCGGGGGUAGAGCACUGUUUCGGCAAGGGGGUCAUCCCGACUUACCAACCCGAUGCAAACUGCGAAUACCGGAGAAUGUUAUCACGGGAGACACACGGCGGGUGCUAACGUCCGUCGUGAAGAGGGAAACAACCCAGACCGCCAGCUAAGGUCCCAAAGUCAUGGUUAAGUGGGAAACGAUGUGGGAAGGCCCAGACAGCCAGGAUGUUGGCUUAGAAGCAGCCAUCAUUUAAAGAAAGCGUAAUAGCUCACUGGUCGAGUCGGCCUGCGCGGAAGAUGUAACGGGGCUAAACCAUGCACCGAAGCUGCGGCAGCGACGCUGAUGCGUUGUUGGGUAGGGAAGCGUUCUGUAAGCCUGCGAAGGUGUGCUGUGAGGCAUGCUGGAGGUAUCAGAAGUGCGAAUGCUGACAUAAGUAACGAUAAAGCGGGUGAAAAGCCCGCUCGCCGGAAGACCAAGGGUUCCUGUCCAACGUUAAUCGGGGCAGGGUGAGUCGACCCCUAAGGCGAGGCCGAAAGGCGUAGUCGAUGGGAAACAGGUUAAUAUUCCUGUACUUGGUGUUACUGCGAAGGGGGGACGGAGAAGGCUAUGUUGGCCGGGCGACGGUUGUCCCGGUUUAAGCGUGUAGGCUGGUUUUCCAGGUCAAAUCCGGAAAUUCAAGGCUGAGGCGUGAUGACGAGGCACUACGGUGCUGAAGCAACAAAUGCCCUGCUUCCAGGAAAAGCCUCUAAGCAUCAGGUAACAUCAAAUCGUACCCCAAACCGACACAGGUGGUCAGGUAGAGAAUACCAAGGCGCUUGAGAGAACUCGGGUGAAGGAACUAGGCAAAAUGGUGCCGUAACUUCGGGAGAAGGCACGCUGAUAUGUAGGUGAAGUCCCUCGCGGAUGGAGCUGAAAUCAGUCGAAGAUACCAGCUGGCUGCAACUGUUUAUUAAAAACACAGCACUGUGCAAACACGAAAGUGGACGUAUACGGUGUGACGCCUGCCCGGUGCCGGAAGGUUAAUUGAUGGGGUCAGCGCAAGCGAAGCUCUUGAUCGAAGCCCCGGUAAACGGCGGCCGUAACUAUAACGGUCCUAAGGUAGCGAAAUUCCUUGUCGGGUAAGUUCCGACCUGCACGAAUGGCGUAAUGAUGGCCAGGCUGUCUCCACCCGAGACUCAGUGAAAUUGAACUCGCUGUGAAGAUGCAGUGUACCCGCGGCAAGACGGAAAGACCCCGUGAACCUUUACUAUAGCUUGACACUGAACAUUGAGCCUUGAUGUGUAGGAUAGGUGGGAGGCUUUGAAGUGUGGACGCCAGUCUGCAUGGAGCCGGCCUUGAAAUACCACCCUUUAAUGUUUGAUGUUCUAACGUUGACCCGUAAUCCGGGUUGCGGACAGUGUCUGGUGGGUAGUUUGACUGGGGCGGUCUCCUCCUAAAGAGUAACGGAGGAGCACGAAGGUUGGCUAAUCCUGGUCGGACAUCAGGAGGUUAGUGCAAUGGCAUAAGCCAGCUUGACUGCGAGCGUGACGGCGCGAGCAGGUGCGAAAGCAGGUCAUAGUGAUCCGGUGGUUCUGAAUGGAAGGGCCAUCGCUCAACGGAUAAAAGGUACUCCGGGGAUAACAGGCUGAUACCGCCCAAGAGUUCAUAUCGACGGCGGUGUUUGGCACCUCGAUGUCGGCUCAUCACAUCCUGGGGCUGAAGUAGGUCCCAAGGGUAUGGCUGUUCGCCAUUUAAAGUGGUACGCGAGCUGGGUUUAGAACGUCGUGAGACAGUUCGGUCCCUAUCUGCCGUGGGCGCUGGAGAACUGAGGGGGGCUGCUCCUAGUACGAGAGGACCGGAGUGGACGCAUCACUGGUGUUCGGGUUGUCAUGCCAAUGGCACUGCCCGGUAGCUAAAUGCGGAAGAGAUAAGUGCUGAAAGCAUCUAAGCACGAAACUUGCCCCGAGAUGAGUUCUCCCUGACUCCUUGAGAGUCCUGAAGGAACGUUGAAGACGACGACGUUGAUAGGCCGGGUGUGUAAGCGCAGCGAUGCGUUGAGCUAACCGGUACUAAUGAACCGUGAGGCUUAACCUU